CGUUGCGUCAGGUUUGUAACGUAUUAAAACCUAUUGGUGGCAUCGGUUCUUUAUUACUUUCAUUAGUGUAUUUUUCGCAUUAUUCAUUACUAUAGUUUUUACCAUCAUUUAAAUUCGUAACAUAUGUUCCUUUGAUAGAGGUGACGCGCAACUAAACUCAAGUACUUUAAAACAAGAUUUCGCAUGCGUUUCUGUAGUAUUAUUUAAGUAUAUUUAGUUGUGAACUUUCGAAUUCUUGCAAAUAUUUUCAACUGUUUGUAACGCGGGAUUAUAGUGUAUUAGUGUAUAUCUCAUAUUCUAGUAACGAACAUUCAUAGUAUAAUUCUUGCAAAUGCUUACAUUGCAUUCAUGGUACUCGUAAAAACAUUUGUUCGAUAUCGAGGAAUAUCUUAUAAUUUUAAAUUAAUAUUUUUCAUACGUAAAAGAAAAGUAGCAGUAUUUUCUAAAUAAACGUUCGAUAGAGAAAAGAAGAAAAACAUCGAAACAAUAUUUCGCUUCUUUUCUACUCCCCAUUCCACCCCACCCCACCCAUAAACAACUUUAUUUUUAGGGAAUAUUUGUGACCGCGUGCAAUGCGGUUUGUAGAGUCAGUGUUUGCUCCGCAAAAGUAUUUUUCAAUAUUUUCAAAUCACGGUCGUUUUGAUUAAAUUCAAUUAAAUAAUCACACGCGAAAGUAGUAAAAUUUUAUCAAACAAUUUUCUACGCGACAUUAGAGCUCUUGUUCGCCGGUUAUAAUUUUUGCGGUCGUGGUAAUGUGGUCUUAUUUUAUAUUCUUUUGAACAUUCUUUUUCGAUACUAGAGUCAGUGCAUCAAGAAAACAAAGCCUCUGCAGGAGCUCAAGAAUACAUAUCACAGCUUGAACUUCUUUGUCUUUUUGGGAAUGCUCCAACGGUGGCUCAAAAGCCAAGAAUAUUUUUCAUAACCUCCAUUUCCACCAUUGGAUUUUCGACAGUUCCUGCCUGAUGUUAGUCUUUGAAACGAUAUUUGCUGAGAUAAUGCAGUGUCGAUGGGAACGUUUUCCGCUUCUCCGCUUUUAAUGGUGAGUCGCAUGCGUUUUUGUUCCUCCGGUCACUCAAUCAUGUCGUAGGAUGAAAGGUCUGAAUCGGCACGGGUGACUGGUUGUAUUAUGUAGAAUUUUUUGCGAGCAUAGUGACCGCGGGUAUUUUUUACACCCGUGAGUAAUAACAUUUUUUUCAUAUCUUUAUUUAUUAGUUCAGGAUAGGUCUUCUUACACAUCGCGAUUAUAAUCAUUAAUUUUUUAAUAAUUAGUUUAAACAUAUAAAUUUGAGAAUAUAUUCGUGGUACUGACAAAUAUGUAUAAUAGUAUUCAGUAUAAAUAUUUGCAAAAGGCAAAUAUCUAGACGAAUAUACUUGUAUGACAUAAAUACACUUAAUCUUAAGCAAUGAAUUUUAGUAUAAAUAAGAGGUACCGAAGGAAAAAUCGGAUGCCCUCCGA